GCGCGAAACCUCUGCAAUAGGCGAAAGCUUGACAGGGUUAUUCUGAGUGAUCUCCGAUAAGGAGAUCUUUUGGCAUCUCUAAAAAUGAUGCAGAAUAAGGGGUGGGCAAGUCUGGUGUCAGCCGCCGCGGUAAUACCAGCACCCCGAGUGGUCGGGACGAUUAUUGGGCCUAAAGCAUCCGUAGCCGGUUCUGCAAGUCUUCCGUUAAAUCCAGCUGCUUAACAGAUGGGCUGCGGGGGAUACUACAGAGCUAGGAGGCGGGAGAGGCAAGCGGUACUCAGUGGGUAGGGGUAAAAUCCGUUGAUCCAUUGAAGACCACCAGUGGCGAAGGCGGCUUGCCAGAACGCACUCGACGGUGAGGGAUGAAAGCUGGGGGAGCAAACCGG
rnacentral:rRNA from 1 species